GGCUGAGCGGGGGUUGAGCAACCCAGGGAAAGGAGGAAGCCAGUGCCUGUUCAUGGGAUAUGCCACCAGCUGUCUGAGCCCCACACACAGGUGAGCAUCAGAGAGGACACAGUGACUUGGUGUUAGAGGGUGGCCAUGCCCAGUGGUUGGGGCAGGAGUCAGGCUGAGUCAUCAGAGCAGGAGUCGGUGGCCAAAAAUCAUAGACCAAGGUCAGAGCCAGAGUCAGAAGCCAGGAGUCGGAGCUGGGCAGGGCAUUGCAGUGUGGCUGCUCACAUCCGGGCUAGGUUAACCCUGUGUUCAGACCAGGUGCCAGUCACCUGAGUUCACUUUGCAGCAUAGACGUGCCCAGAAGGCAGAGGGCUUGGUUUUGGGACAGAGCUGAGGGGCCUCGUUAAGGCAAUUUGCAAAAGGUCGUUACCUGCUUGGUCUUCUGUCCAAGGAAACAGGAUAUGUACAUAUUGCAAAUAAACAAAUGAUGCUUAGAAAUUGCUCCAUGUCACUGAUUUCUCAUCCACAUGGAAACCACUAUACCACAGGGACACCCAUACAUUAUUAUUUAGCUGCCACCAGCUAAUGAACUAGGCAAAGACCCCAAUGAGUUAUUUAGGACUGGUGCAUCCCUGCAUUGCGGACUCAAGUAGGGUCUCCCCUAUAGGAAUGUCUUGUCUCUACAUCAGGAAGUGGACUUUCGCUACAUGAGUCCAGAGGACCAGCAGCCGUUCAUGGAAAUCUACACCAAGGACAUGAGGGAGGGACUCAAACUCAUCGUACUGAUGAAACGCUACGGGGAAGUUGUCUGGAAGGUGUUGGUGAGACCAGGUGGGGACUGUCUUUUUGGUCUGUGUUUAUACAACGUGAAGCAAAAUGGGGUCCUGAACCCUGACUCGGCCUUUAGGUGUUAUGGUGACACAAACAAUAAAUAACAGAGUAUUCUUUCAAUGGGUGGGUUAUUCCAGCUGUAAGGCCUCUUGGUACUCCAAACACAGGGGCUCUAUGCACCAUCAUGUGUAACCAUUCAGACCUGAAAGUGCUCGCUGUGAAUGUAAAGUGUCUAAUAUAAAAGGGAAAGUAUUCUGAUGAACAAGUUGACUGACCUUCUCUUUGUUUCUCUCCUAGAGGAUGUGACGCUUUCGGGUUCAUCCUCUGAAAAGUUCAAGGGUCAGUUCUUCUGGGAAAGACCCAUGGGUGAAUCAGUGGCAAAAGCAGGAAGAGAACCUGGGAAUCCCCCUAUUCUAACCCACCAGACCCCAUUUCCCUCCCAGCUCCAGGGGUAGAACCCAGCAAUCUUGACUCCCAGCCAGCUCACUCUAAACCACUAGACCCCAUUCCCCUCCCAGAGCUUAUUAGAGGGAGCUUAGAAACCUGUUUUAAACCACAGAUCUCCUAACUAGUCAUGUUAAGCUAAAUCCUUUGUUUUCCAGGGCUUCAGAAACUGCUCCCUGAACUGAAACAAGGGUUUAUUGGACUAUGUGGCCAGAGAGAGUUCAGAAUGUCGCCCCCAGCUGCCUGGAGCUCACUGGCAAGGCCUGUGGAUGGGGAAGCAGAGGGAGAGCCAGGCAGCGGUGCUACACUCAGGACCGUGGCUAACGAGAAUUGCCAGAUUGGAUCCGACCUGAGGUCCAGAUAAUCCAGUGGCCUGUCUCUGAGUGUGCUGGUGUCAGCUGCUUCAGAGGAAAGCAUAAGAACCCGCAGUAAGAGAUGCAGAGUAAUCUACCCAUGACCUUCCAUCUCAUCCUGGUCUGUAACAGUGAGAGAUCAGCAUGUAUUUCCAGUCCAUUCCAGGCACGGUGACUGGCCAGCAAAGGUGUCAAGUGGGGGCUCCUGGGAAGUGAUCCAGCAGCUGAGAAGAGAGUUAAUGACAAUCCUCCAGAGUGAUGCAGAGGCCGUGGUCAGCGCUGCCGACGCCCCCUCCUCCUCACGCAGGGAGAGUACCUCGCCCUGAACUGGCUGGAGGAUCAGGAGAUCAGGGCUGCCAUGCUGAUUGAUAUGGUGCUGGCCAAGGGGGACCAGGCCCAUCAGCUCUUCCUAGACUGUAUGAGAACCCUGUGCUUCACCUUCCUUGCCCUGGAGCCUAUCCUCACGGGGUUACAAACCGGCUUCGAAGCAGAUGUGGCUAUCCCCAGGCCCGGAGCACAGAUAGGAGGCCCAGUCAGUGCUGAAGGGGAACAUUUUGUGGACCGGCAUUGAGCAGAGCUAAUUCAACGGGUCUCUAUGGUGGAUGGGGUCCUGGACAUGCUGUGUGGCACCGUGCUGGGUAACGAGCAGUACCAGCGCAUCUGAGCCGAGAGAAGCAACCCGGAGAAGAUGCGGAAGCUCUAUGAGCUCAUGCCGAGCUGGAACUGGGUCUGCAAGGACCAGCUCUACCAGGCGCUGAAGGCCAAGCACACGUUCCUCACUGAAGACCUUGAGGGGAAAUGAACGCAAUAAACUGUCCCUCCUUCUGGAGCGGCUGUGCCUAGAGUCCAUUCCAUGGUACUCAGGACUCCAGUUCUGGUUCUUCUCCCUAUUCACAGAAUCAUAGAAUCAUAGAAUAUUAGGGUUGGAAGGGACCUCAGGAGGUCAUCUAGUCCAACCCCCUGCUCAAAGCAGGACCAAUCCCCAAUUUUUCCCCAGAUUACAAAUGGCCCCCUCAAGGAUUGAACUCACAACCCUGGGUUUAGCAGGCCAAUGCUCAAACCGCUGAGCUAUCCCUCCCCCCCCCACCCAGAAUCCAUUGUGGCGAGGCUCCGGAAUCCGGUUCUGGUCCUUCAACCUGUCAAUCAGUGCUUGUCUGGUCUUUAUCCACCCCGCUAUGCACAUCCCCUACCAUCGUCACAGCUGGGUCUCUGACAGGGGGGCUCCAUCAGCCCCCCUCUGGCCUCUCCUCAGGCUGAACUUGGGUGGAGAUUCCAUCAAAGGCCCCAGUUCCCCGCUCACCUUCCUCAGCAACGGUGCCAGCAGCACCAUCUCCAUUCUCUGUGAUGUAAGGGCACAUGCCUCAAGCUGGAACACGGCGCGUGCUCCGGGAGUUCCCUGGGCAUCCCUCCUCCUCCCCGCCUCCGACGCCCCCGGGACAUUCUGUGGGGAAGGGUUUAUCGAUCACGGAAGCCGAUUAAAUAGAACUCGACGUAGUUCACUUGGGAAGUGAGACACUCACCCUCAACGUCACGGAAGCUGCAUGAAACAGGGUCUUGGGUUUUUUGUUUUUGUUUUUUAAGAAUAGUUGAUGUAUUUUUGUUAGAGAGAAAAAAGCCAUGAAUUGGGGGUGGCCACCAGAGCACGGGAGGGGAAAUGGAACACAACGACUGGCCUUUUCUCAGCUUUCCAGGGUGGGGAAAUGCCCCGGGACUUGCUCAGUUGGGAAAUGGAAGUGGUACUGCAAUACGCCCCGAAGAUCAUCUCUGGGCCAGCCCCUCCUGCUCUCAAUGUAGCCAGAUCAGAGGGCAGGGGCAGCUCUGGACAUGGAGAACUAGCUGCAUGAGAACAGGGGCUGCUUUCCCCUCCUUAAGCCCUGUUGCCACCCCCUCUCUCAGAGCCAGGGAGAGGAACCAGCGGUAGGUCUGCACUGCAGAUGGGAGCAUGCCUCCCAGCCCACGUCAGCUGUUUAGGCUCCUGAAUCAGUUAGGCACCACAACGCUGAGCAUAGUGUUGUCAGUUGUUGGCUGUGUGCGUGUGUUCUCCCUGGGUGCUUUUCUGGCUUUGGCCAGAUGGCCAUCACAGCAGACCUCAGUCAAACUGCCCAAAAAGACUCGGCCAGGUUUACUGCCAAUAAGGUAUGGAACUAGCACCUGGCAGACUCUACAGGGCCACUAAUACAGGUAUGCCCACGACAACAGACUCAGCUUAGUCAGCGGUGGGACUUUCCACUGUCCUCUCAGCUGGACAAAGACACUCCUCCUGUGACCCCUCUUUUAUACAGAUACAAACAAGUUACCUAGUACCUUUCUGAUGUGGUUAAUGACCACCUUACACCUUGUACCUGUUGGUUCAAUCAAAACAUCCCCAUCCGUUAUCCUGCCAUCCUGACCUUCUCUUCAGGAGGGUCAGUGUGUCCCUGUACCAUUUUCAGGGAGUGUGUUUAUACCACAACUUUGUAUCAGGUACUACCGUUCUGGACUGUGUUUACAUGAAUGAGGUAACUCCCUUCUCUUCAUGUGUCAGUAUAUAAUGCCUGCAUCUGUACUUUUCACUCCAUGCAUCUGAAGAAGUGGGUUUUUUACUCACAAAAGCUUAUGCCCAAAUAAAUGUGUUAGUCUUUAAGGUGCCACCGGACUCCUUGUUGUUUUCAUGAAUACUUAGUGCCUAAUACUUCUUAGGAGUGUCCGUGUUUAGCAAUACCAGCCAUAAUCUUACCAAGUUCAUGUACCCGACAGUGAACGUGUAAGCUGGCAUUUGCUUUAGAGAAGGGCCUGACUCUUGCUCAUAACCUCACUCUUGCUGAUUUUGGUGCAGGCCUUAUGUCUUGUACCAGGCCACGUGUUUCAGGCUCACACUCUUUCUACUACAUUCCCCCACUUUUUGUCUUUUUAUGGGGAGGAUGUUUACCCAUCACUCCAGAAAAGCAUAAUGCAUGGAUUGAAGAUGACCAAGUGGGCUAA